UACAGAGGUCUCAAGCGUUGUUCGGAUUCAUUGGGCGUAAAGGGUGCGUAGGUGGUGAUGCAAGUCUGGUGUGAAAUCUCGGAGCUCAACUCCGAAAUUGCACCGGAUACUGCGUGACUCGAGGACUGUAGAGGAGAUCGGAAUUCACGGUGUAGCAGUGAAAUGCGCAGAUAUCGGGAGGAACACCGGUGGCGAAGGCAGCCUCCUGGGCCAGCACUGACGCUCAUGCACGAAAGCGUGGGGAGCAAACAGG
rnacentral:rRNA from 1 species